rnacentral:rRNA from 1 species
AACGAACGCUGGCGGCAUGCCUAACACAUGCAAGUCGAACGAGAUCUUCGGGUCUAGUGGCGCACGGGUGCGUAACGCGUGGGAAUCUGCCCUUUGGUUCGGAAUAACAGUUGGAAACGACUGCUAAUGCCGGAUGAUGACGAAAGUCCAAAGAUUUAUCGCCAGAGGAUGAGCCCGCGUAGGAUUAGCUAGUUGGUGUGGUAAAGGCGCACCAAGGCGACGUUCCUUAGCUGGUCUGAGAGGAUGAUCAGCCACACUGGGACUGAGACACGGCCCAGACUCCUACGGGAGGCAGCAGUGGGGAAUAUUGGACAAUGGGCGAAAGCCUGAUCCAGCAAUGCCGCGUGAGUGAUGAAGGCCUUAGGGUUGUAAAGCUCUUUUACCCGGGAUGAUAAUGACAGUACCGGGAGAAUAAGCUCCGGCUAACUCCGUGCCAGCCGCCGCGGUAA